rnacentral:rRNA from 1 species
UACGAAGGGGGCUAGCGUUGCUCGGAAUUACUGGGCGUAAAGGGAGCGUAGGCGGAUAGUUUAGUCAGAGGUGAAAGCCCAGGGCUCAACCUUGGAAUUGCCUUGAUACUGGCUAUCUUGAGUACGGAAGAGGUAUGUGGAACUCCGAGUGUAGAGGUGAAAUUCGUAGAUAUUCGGAAGAACACCAGUGGCGAAGGCGACAUACUGGUCCGUACUGACGCUGAGGCUCGAAAGCGUGGGGAGCAA